GUCCAACUUCAGUGUAGGCGGAGACGGUGGUGAUUGAGGCGAAGGCGGAGCAACGUCGAGCUUCUUCGCAACCGUCUCUUCGCUCUCCUUAGUGGUUAUGGUUCCGGGUCGGGUUUUGGUCUUCUUCUUGUCGGAGGGUGGAGAUGGAGACGGAGAAGAAGAAGAUUGAGCCCUAGGGAUUACGAUUUGGGAGCGAUCAUGGAAUCUGUGAAUUCUGGUGUUGAUGCUGAAACUGUUGCCAAAAUUCGAGCUUAGAAACCUCGCAUCAGUCGCAGCCAUGUUACUGCCAACAAUACUACCCACCAUUUUUGAACUCUGCUACACAAACAGAGCUCAAAGACACAAUUUUGAAAAUAAAUUUUUUGGAUAAAAU